rnacentral:rRNA from 1 species
AUUGAACGCUGGCGGCAUGCCUUACACAUGCAAGUCGAACGGUAACAGGUUAAGCUGACGAGUGGCGAACGGGUGAGUAAUGUAUCGGAACGUGCCCAGUCGUGGGGGAUAACUACUCGAAAGAGUGGCUAAUACCGCAUACGACCUGAGGGUGAAAGCGGGGGACCGUAAGGCCUCGCGCGAUUGGAGCGGCCGAUAUCAGAUUAGCUAGUUGGUGGGGUAAAAGCCCACCAAGGCGACGAUCUGUAGCUGGUCUGAGAGGACGACCAGCCACACUGGGACUGAGACACGGCCCAGACUCCUACGGGAGGCAGCAGUGGGGAAUUUUGGACAAUUGACGCAAGUCUGAUUCAGCCAUGCCGCGUGCGGGAAGAAGGCCUUCGGGUUGUAAACCGCUUUUGUCAGGGAAGUAACGAGUUUCUCUAAUACAGAGACUUAAUGACGGUACCUGAAGAAUAAGCACCGGCUAACUACGUGCCAGCCGCCGCCGUAAUAC